rnacentral:misc_RNA from 1 species
AUCCAGCUGCUCGGCUGGAAAUAUCUCCUAUGGCUGCUAAAGCUGCCUGGAAUAUGGGAGAAUGGAAUCAAAUGGCUGAUUAUGUUUCUCGUUUGGAUGAUGGGGAUGAAAAUAAAGUUCGGUCGGGUAAUACUGCUACUAGUGGUGAAGGAAGCAGUAAUGGUGCUUUUUACCGAGCGAUUCUUUUAGUUCGCCGUGAAAAGUAUCCUGAAG